CGACGCAUAGCCUCUCCCUAUAUAUUCUGCAUGUGUGGAGGUGGCCCAGCUCCACAAGGGCCUGGUAGCCACAGGAAUCUCUUUCACACAGCAGCUACUACCUGCAGGGGCAACGACGAACCAAAUGAGAAUAAAGACAAGCUGGGAACAGAAUCCUGGCUGCCGGAUGUGUGCGGAUGAAAAAACAGUGAGAUGAGUCAGAAAAUGGCCAAGGAGGGCCCCAGGCUCUCCAAGAACCAGAAGUUCUCGGAACACUUCAGCAUCCACUGUUGCCCACCCUUCACCUUCCUCAACUCCAAGCGUGAGAUCGUGGACCGCAAGUACAGCAUCUGCAAGAGCGGCUGCUUCUACCAGAAGAAGGAGGAGGAUUGGAUCUGCUGCGCCUGCCAGAAGACCAGAUUGAAAAGGAGGAGCAGGUCAACCCCAAGAAAAAAGUGACAAGGAAGGGAUUUCCUGUGAAUGGACAGCCUCCGCCUGUGGACUUACAACUUCACAACCCAUCCUCCCUCAGACAAGUUACCUGGCCUCAAGUAUGAUGCAGGAUCAGACACCUGCUGAUGCGACAGCUACAGAUGCCCUCAGUCCUCACGGUGUGGGAGCCUCAGGGCAGCCUGCCUGGAGCACUGUGGCGAUGCCAUUCCAUCACCUCCCUCUGUAAGUGCCAAUGAGAGAUCUGCCAUCCAUCUUCUUGACUCUCCAUGGACUCAGGUUCCUCUAUCUGAAGAUGUGUGUGUCUUCAGGGAUGUGCAAAACAAGUUCGUGUUGCACAACUAUCCAAGUGGCAAAUAUAAAAAAGAAAUUGUCAAGCGUUGGCAAUGAUGUGAGGAGAGUCCUAGACGCUACUGAUGGGAAUUUGUACCUUGUCAUGGUAGAUGUCAUCCUACCACUGUACCCCGGGACACUAGCAAGGCAGGGUAUCUUAAAACCUCUAAUCAAGUGACUAUAAUUUUAGGCAUCCAUCCUGGAGAACACUUACACACUUUUAGAGAAGAGGAAACACACAAAUUUGUUUAAAAGAUCAUGGUUUGUAGUUAAGAGGGGAAAUAGAAUGCAAUUAGCCAAACUCUCUAUCCAUAAGGGAAUGAGAGAACAAAUUUGGGGAUAUUUUCAAAUAAAGUCCUAAACAUCAGUUAAAGCCAGUCUGUCAGGCAGGCUGUAUCAAGCAGGUGAAUCUAGACAGCAGAGCCAGGACUAUAGAAAGCAAGCAUAAGGCGGCAAACCCAAUAUGACAUCCUAGGUAUAAAUAUCGACAGCCCACAAUCCUAUAUUGGUUAUUGCUCAAUAAGGAGAAGCCAUAAAAUCUCAUACUUUUUCUAUAAUGCAAUAGAAUUUAAAAUGAUAGCAAAAGACAAAGAUAUUAAAAAUGAAUCCUCUCAGAAAUAAACGUAUAAGAAAUAAUUCCUGGCUUGAAGAAAUAACCCAGACUAAAAGCUACAUAGAAAUAGUUUAACAGUACUAGGGGAUAUACAUUUGUUUGGAGAGGGUAAAUGGGAAAUUUGUGAACAGCGUGGGAUGCUUCCACAGUUAUAUAAAUCUUAAACACCAAAAAACAUUUGCUUUGAAUCAAUUUUGGGUCUGGGAUAGAGUCCUUGGCUUGUGAGAAAAGGGAACCGAUUUGGAAUACAGCUCUCAAAUUUUUCUUUAGGGACCAGGUAAGUAGGAGAGGACAACAGGAUGUUGGGGAACGUGGAGGGAUGUACAGUACUUGGUGGAGGGACACUCAAUGUAGGGACACGAAGAGCAUCAGGAAUGGCUUUGUGCUGGGAGCUGGGUGGCCAAGCACAGGCAGAUGCUGGAAGACCCCAAAGGGCACCGUUUCACCCUCACAGCCAGACCUGGUAAAGUUCAGAUUGGAGUGCAGGGAUGGGGGCCAUGUUCAAGGUGUGGAGCUGGAGAGAGAGGAAGACAGUAAGGAGGAAGGAAGAGAUGGCUCAGAAUGCUGCGCCCCAGCAAGAAGAAGCAGGCCAUACUGUCCCAAGAUCCCCGAAGGGCCCCGGCUUCCUAACCUGAGGGUGCUAUGUGGCCCCAGAAGUGCCAAUGCGAAGGCAGGGGAAUUUAACUGCAGAACAACUUCGUGCAGAAACUCUGGUGCUAAAUGAACAUCUAAGUGACAACCUCUCUGACGGGCAGGGUCUAACGGUGAGCUGCCCGAGGCUAUCUCCUUCCCGAGAGUAACGGGGCUGGGAAGAACUAGGGUGAGAUAGCGCACAGCAACCCACUGGCGAGCCUCACCCCAACCCAUUAAGGAAACAUCAUGGGGACUCCAUCUCCAGUGCUCGCUCAUCUCACCCUCCCCUCCACGCCACCCCCAAGACAAAGAGCACUUGUUAACCCAUGCACAGCACUGGAUAUUAGCCCAUUAAUGUGAAUAACCAGAAACCACUACAUUUUGUCUGUCUUCUGUUGAAAUAAAACCUGGGGGUGGAUCAA